rnacentral:snRNA from 1 species
ACACUUACCUGGCAGGGAAAAUGCCAUGACCAUGAAGGUGGUUUUCCUACUGGCUGGGGAAAACCAUGAACUUGGCAGGGGGUAGUACUCUGACCGAGGUGAUGCAUAGGUAGCCUCCCACUUACACUUCCAGGGGGAAGAUCUCAGCUUUAUGGAAAUGGAAGACUUCCC